AACGAACGCUGGCGGCAUGCCUAACACAUGCAAGUCGAGCGCCCGGAGCGAUCCGGGAGCGGCGCACGGGUGAGUAGCGCGUGGGAACCUGCCCAGAGGUUCGGGACAACCGCGGGAAACUGCGGCUGAUACCGGAUGAUGCCUGAGGGCCAAAGAUUUAUCGCCUUUGGAGGGGCCCGCGUCGGAUUAGGUAGUUGGUGAGGUAACGGCUCACCAAGCCUGUGANCCGUAGCUGGUCUGAGAGGAUGAUCAGCCACACUGGGACUGAGACACGGCCCAGACUCCUACGGGAGGCAGCAGUGGGGAGUAUUGGACAAUGGGGCGAACCCUGAUCCAGCAAUGCCGCGUGGGUGAUGAAGGCCUU
rnacentral:rRNA from 1 species